rnacentral:lncRNA from 1 species
GAACUCCCACAUAUUCGCACUAAGUCACAGGGGACAAGGCAGAAUGAGGUUCAGUGGGGUGUGCCAGGUGUGUGCUGAUCAGCACCAGUGACAGCAUGAAACUGAUGUUCCAGGUGGGGAGACUGAAGAGGAGCCAGAUCUAGACUCAAGAUAGAGAUGGUGACCAGAAAGUCACAUAUCAUGAUGGUGGCUGCAUCUCUGGUAGAUCAGAGGACGUUCUAAAGGAGCCCUGACACACAAACACCUUCUGAGACUCCUGUACCAGGGACUAAGAAGAAGCAGUUGAGAUCACUGGAUCCCAGGUAGCUUCCAGCCAGCAGAGACAUUCUGUCUUCCCUACACUCCGGGGCAGGUCUUGGCAGCGCCCUGCCUGACUUCAGCCUGUCCCUUCUCAAGCCUGGGAAAGCCCGGGAGACCGCGUCGCACUCACCCGGUGGCUGCCUCUGUCCAUGGUGUAAGAGAAUGCUUCUUCCAGGCUCAGCUGAUGUCCAGGAGGCAAAAGAAACAGAGAAAGAGACACGUGUCCUAAACCAAAGUCGCUGUGCUCAGAAGUGUGGAAGCAGAAGAGUUAGGUGGACUUGGGAAUGCUCCCUUUAUGAUAAAGCCCCAGGGUGGCUGGAACUUCACUGAGAUCCAUGGAUUCCGAGAUCGGGUCUGUGUUCCCCCAUGCAUGAAUCUGUACCCAAAUAAAACUCUCUUUGCUUUU